rnacentral:rRNA from 1 species
GUUAAAGAAGAACAUAUCUGAGAGUAACUGUUCAGGUAUUGACGGUAUUUAACCAGAAAGCCACGGCUAACUACGUGCCAGCAGCCGCGGUAAUACGUAGGUGGCAAGCGUUGUCCGGAUUUAUUGGGCGUAAAGCGAGCGCAGGCGGUUUUUUAAGUCUGAUGUGAAAGCCUUCGGCUCAACCGAAGAAGUGCAUCGGAAACUGGGAAACUUGAGUGCAGAAGAGGACAGUGGAACUCCAUGUGUAGCGGUGAAAUGCGUAGAUAUAUGGAAGAACACCAGUGGCGAAGGCGGCUGUCUGGUCUGUAACUGACGCUGAGGCUCGAAAGUAUGGGUAGCAAACAGGAUUAGAUACCCUGGUAGUCCAUACCGUAAACGAUGAAUGCUAAGUGUUGGAGGGUUUCCGCCCUUCAGUGCUGCAGCUAACGCAUUAAGCAUUCCGCCUGGGAGUACGGCCGCAAGGCUGAAACUCAAAGGAAUUGACGGGGGCCCGCACAAGCGGUGGAGCAUGUGGUUUAAUUCGAAGCUACGCGAAGAACCUUACCAGGUCUUGACAUACUAUGCAAAUCUAAGAGAUUAGACGUUCCCUUCGGGGACAUGGAUACAGGUGGUGCAUGGUUGUCGUCAGCUCGUGUCGUGAGAUGUUGGGUUAAGUCCCGCAACGAGCGCAACCCUUAUUAUCAGUUGCCAGCAUUAAGUUGGGCACUCUGGUGAGACUGCCGGUGACAAACCGGAGGAAGGUGGGGAUGACGUCAAAUCAUCAUGCCCCUUAUGACCUGGGCUACACACGUGCUACAAUGGAUGGUACAACGAGUUGCGAACUCGCGAGAGUAAGCUAAUCUCUUAAAGCCAUUCUCAGUUCGGAUUGUAGGCUGCAACUCGCCUACAUGAAGUCGGAAUCGCUAGUAAUCGCGGAUCAGCAUGCCGCGGUGAAUACGUUCCCGGGCCUUGUACACACCGCCCGUCACACCAUGAGAGUUUGUAACACCCAAAGUCGGUGGGGUAACCUUUUAGGAACCAGCCGCCUAAGGUGGGACAGAUGAUUAGGGUGAAGUCGUAACAAGGUAGCCGUAGGAGAACCUGCGGCUG